GAUGAACGCUGACAGAAUGCUUAACACAUGCAAGUCUACUUGAUUCUACUUCGGUAGUUGAUGGUGGCGGACGGGUGAGCAACGCGUAAAGAAUCUGCCCUUUAGUUCGGGAUAACCUUUGGAAACGAAGGAUAAUACCGGAUAUUAUGGAGACGUCGCAUGACGAUUUCAUGAAAGCUAUAUGCGCUAGAGGAGGACUUUGCGUCCCAUUAGUUAGUUGGUGAGGUAAUGGCUCACCAAGACCGCGAUGGGUAGCCGGCCUGAGAGGGUGAUCGGCCACAAGGGAACUGAGACACGGUCCUUACUCCUACGGGAGGCAGCAGUGGGGAAUAUUGGACAAUGGGCCACAAGCCUGAUCCAGCAAUUCUGUGUGCACGAUGAAGGUCUUCGGAUUGUAAAGUGCUUUCAGUAGGGAAGAAAAAGAUGACGGUACCUACAGAAGAAGCGACGGCUAAAUAUGUGCCAGCAGCCGCAGUAAAAC
rnacentral:rRNA from 1 species